UACGGAGGGGGCUAGCGUUGUUCGGAAUUACUGGGCGUAAAGCGCGCGUAGGCGGACCUGCAAGUCGGGGGUGAAAGCCCGAGGCUCAACCUCGGAACUGCCUUCGAUACUGCGGGUCUCGAGUCCGGGAGAGGUGGAGUGGAAUUCCGUAGUGUAGAGGUGAAAUUCGUAGAUAUUAGGAAGAACACCAGUGGCCGAAGGCGG
rnacentral:rRNA from 1 species